rnacentral:rRNA from 1 species
CGGGUGAGUAACACGUGAGUAACCUGCCCUUGACUCUGGGGAUAAGCCUGGGAAACUGGGUCUAAUACCGGAUAUGACUCCUCAUCGCAUGGUGGGGGGUGGGAAAGCUUUUUGUGGUUUUGGAUGGACUCGCGGCCUAUCAGCUUGUUGGUGAGGUAAUGGCUCACCAAGGCGACGACGGGUAGCCGGCCUGAGAGGGUGACCGGCCACACUGGGACUGAGACACGGCCCAG